UACGUAGGGGGCUAGCGUUGUCCGGAUUUAUUGGGCGUAAAGAGCGUGUAGGCGGCCAGGUAGGUCUGCUGUGAAAACUCGAGGCUCAACCUCGAGACGUCGGCGGAAACCAUCUGGCUAGAGUCCGGAAGAGGAGAGUGGAAUUCCUGGUGUAGCGGUGAAAUGCACAGAUAUCAGGAAGAACACCCGUGGCGAAGGCGGCUCUCUGGGACGGUACUGACGCUGAGACGCGAAAGCGUGGGGAGCGAACAGG
rnacentral:rRNA from 1 species